rnacentral:rRNA from 1 species
GGGUUGUGAGGUUAAGCGACUAAGCGUACACGGUGGAUGCCCUGGCAGUCAGAGGCGAUGAAGGGCGUGCUAAUCUGCGAUAAGCGCCGGUAAGGUGAUAUGAACCGUUAUAACCGGCGAUACCCGAAUGGGGAAACCCAGUGUGAUUCGUCACACUAUCAUUAACUGAAUCCAUAGGUUAAUGAGGCGAACCGGGGGAACUGAAACAUCUAAGUACCCCGAGGAAAAGAAAUCAACCGAGAUUCCCCCAGUAGCGGCGAGCGAACGGGGAGGAGCCCAGAGCCUGAAUCAGCAUGUGUGUUAGUGGAAGCGUCUGGAAAGGCGCGCGAUACAGGGUGACAGCCCCGUACACAAAAGCGCAUGUGCUGUGAGCUCGAUGAGUAGGGCGGGACACGUGGUAUCCUGUCUGAAUAUGGGGGGACCAUCCUCCAAGGCUAAAUACUCCUGACUGACCGAUAGUGAACCAGUACCGUGAGGGAAAGGCGAAAAGAACCCCGGCGAGGGGAGUGAAAAAGAACCUGAAACCGUGUACGUACAAGCAGUGGGAGCACCCUUCGGGGUGUGACUGCGUACCUUUUGUAUAAUGGGUCAGCGACUUAUAUUCUGUAGCAAGGUUAACCGUAUAGGGGAGCCGUAGGGAAACCGAGUCUUAACCGGGCGUUAAGUUGCAGGGUAUAGACCCGAAACCCGGUGAUCUAGCCAUGGGCAGGUUGAAGGUUGGGUAACACUAACUGGAGGACCGAACCGACUAAUGUUGAAAAAUUAGCGGAUGACCUGUGGCUGGGGGUGAAAGGCCAAUCAAACCGGGAGAUAGCUGGUUCUCCCCGAAAGCUAUUUAGGUAGCGCCUCGUGAAUUCAUCUCCGGGGGUAGAGCACUGUUUCGGCUAGGGGGCCAUCCCGGCUUACCAACCCGAUGCAAACUGCGAAUACCGGAGAAUGUUAUCACGGGAGACACACGGCGGGUGCUAACGUCCGUCGUGAAGAGGGAAACAACCCAGACCGCCAGCUAAGGUCCCAAAGUCAUGGUUAAGUGGGAAACGAUGUGGGAAGGCCCAGACAGCCAGGAUGUUGGCUUAGAAGCAGCCAUCAUUUAAAGAAAGCGUAAUAGCUCACUGGUCGAGUCGGCCUGCGCGGAAGAUGUAACGGGGCUAAACCAUGCACCGAAGCUGCGGCAGCGAACGUAUCACCCAAGACAACUUUACGGAGUUGACGAUUGACGGAGCGAAGCGACGUCAAAGCGUUCAUUAAAGUCGAGUUGGCUUAGGGAUACGUUCGUUGGGUAGGGGAGCGUUCUGUAAGCCUGUGAAGGUGUGUCGUGAGGCAUGCUGGAGGUAUCAGAAGUGCGAAUGCUGACAUAAGUAACGAUAAAGCGGGUGAAAAGCCCGCUCGCCGGAAGACCAAGGGUUCCUGUCCAACGUUAAUCGGGGCAGGGUGAGUCGACCCCUAAGGCGAGGCCGAAAGGCGUAGUCGAUGGGAAACGGGUUAAUAUUCCCGUACUUGGUGUUACUGCGAAGGGGGGACGGAGAAGGCUAUGUUGGCCGGGCGACGGUUGUCCCGGUUUAAGCGUGUAGGUGUGUGUUCCAGGUAAAUCCGGUUCACUUUAACACUGAGGCGUGACGACGAGGCACUACGGUGCUGAAGCAACAAAUGCCCUGCUUCCAGGAAAAGCCUCUAAGCAUCAGGUAACAUCAAAUCGUACCCCAAACCGACACAGGUGGUCAGGUAGAGAAUACCAAGGCGCUUGAGAGAACUCGGGUGAAGGAACUAGGCAAAAUGGUGCCGUAACUUCGGGAGAAGGCACGCUGACACGUAGGUGAAGUGAUUUACUCAUGGAGCUGAAGUCAGUCGAAGAUACCAGCUGGCUGCAACUGUUUAUUAAAAACACAGCACUGUGCAAACACGAAAGUGGACGUAUACGGUGUGACGCCUGCCCGGUGCCGGAAGGUUAAUUGAUGGGGUCAGCGCAAGCGAAGCUCCUGAUCGAAGCCCCGGUAAACGGCGGCCGUAACUAUAACGGUCCUAAGGUAGCGAAAUUCCUUGUCGGGUAAGUUCCGACCUGCACGAAUGGCGUAAUGAUGGCCAGGCUGUCUCCACCCGAGACUCAGUGAAAUUGAACUCGCUGUGAAGAUGCAGUGUACCCGCGGCAAGACGGAAAGACCCCGUGAACCUUUACUAUAGCUUGACACUGAACAUUGAGCCUUGAUGUGUAGGAUAGGUGGGAGGCUUUGAAGUGUGGACGCCAGUCUGCAUGGAGCCGACCUUGAAAUACCACCCUUUAAUGUUUGAUGUUCUAACGUGGACCCGUAAUCCGGGUUGCGGACAGUGUCUGGUGGGUAGUUUGACUGGGGCGGUCUCCUCCUAAAGAGUAACGGAGGAGCACGAAGGUUGGCUAAUCCUGGUCGGACAUCAGGAGGUUAGUGCAAUGGCAUAAGCCAGCUUGACUGCGAGCGUGACGGCGCGAGCAGGUGCGAAAGCAGGUCAUAGUGAUCCGGUGGUUCUGAAUGGAAGGGCCAUCGCUCAACGGAUAAAAGGUACUCCGGGGAUAACAGGCUGAUACCGCCCAAGAGUUCAUAUCGACGGCGGUGUUUGGCACCUCGAUGUCGGCUCAUCACAUCCUGGGGCUGAAGUAGGUCCCAAGGGUAUGGCUGUUCGCCAUUUAAAGUGGUACGCGAGCUGGGUUUAGAACGUCGUGAGACAGUUCGGUCCCUAUCUGCCGUGGGCGCUGGAGAACUGAGGGGGGCUGCUCCUAGUACGAGAGGACCGGAGUGGACGCAUCACUGGUGUUCGGGUUGUCAUGCCAAUGGCACUGCCCGGUAGCUAAAUGCGGAAGAGAUAAGUGCUGAAAGCAUCUAAGCACGAAACUUGCCCCGAGAUGAGUUCUCCCUGAGACUUAGAGUCUCCUGAAGGAACGUUGAAGACGACGACGUUGAUAGGCCGGGUGUGUAAGCGCAGCGAUGCGUUGAGCUAACCGGUACUAAUGAACCGUGAGGCUUAACCUUACAACGCCGAAG